rnacentral:lncRNA from 1 species
UAGUGAGUAGAUGGCAGCCAACUCACAUCUGUCUGCACCUCAGUCUCCACAUCAGUGAUAGAGGAUGUGCGGCAGCUCACUUCGAAGGGCUUGGACUUUCUGCAGUUCUGUGGGUCUGACAAAUCAAAAGUUGCCGCUGUACUUGUGGCCUCCGGCUUGAGGAGACACCAAGAGUCAGGGACAGUGCCAUCACCAGAUUGGAGAGAAGGCUGUGCUGGUGCCACGGGGGUGGGCAUUGGUGGCUCAUCCUCACCCUCUGUACAAUGUAGGAGUUUCACUAGGUGACCUUGCCAGUGUCUUCCAACAGUGUCAUUCCUGGACCCUGCACUCACCUCCCUUGAGGGCUGCAGGUGGCCUAGAGCCCACAUUCCUGGGCUCCAGGUGGGGGGUGACUGCCCCAGUCUGCAGACAUUUCCCACAUUCCUCCCCAAGGUCAGGUGCCUUCCCUGAAUUAAAUGUCACCGCCAACCACAGCCCACACUGAAAGGGAGGAGGAAAAAGGGAGGGAGGGUGGCGGGCAUGCUCAGCUGAUCCUGAGACUGACAGCGAACAGAGGAGGUGGGGGAAGACCAGCCCCAGCUACAUAGGGUCAUCUGCAAAAAGGACAGAACACCAGCCUGUGUUUGCCUUAUCAUGACAACGUGUCUAAUAAAGCCCUGCCCAUCCGGAACGCUGAUGGUCACUGAUGCUUCCUUGUUUGUGUUUGAGCCUUCUCGCCCUUUGGAAAAAAGGGAGUGCAGCCCAGCAUGGUGGGUUACCCCUGUAAUCCCAGCACUUUGGGAGGCCGAGGUGGGUGGAUCACUUGAGGUCAGGAGUUUGAGACCAGCCUGACCAACAUGGUGAAACCCCAUCUCUACUAAAAAUACAAAAUUAGCUGGGCAUGGUGGCACAUGCCUAUAAUCCCAGCUACUUGGGGAGGCUGAGGCAGGAGAAUCAUUUGAACCCGGGAGGCAGAGGUUGCAGUGAGCCAAGGUUGUGCCAUUGCACUCCAGCCUGGGCAACAAGAGUGAAACUCUGUCUCAAAUUAAAAAAAAAAAA